GAAGGCAGGAGGAGCUGGCGAAGGGCACCAGAGCUGUGUGGAAUAGAGGGCAGGUGAACACUGCUGCUCGCAGGAAGGGUCCUGCUGCCAGAUUAUGAGCAGUGGCGCAUGAAUGAGGAGCUCUCAGGUUCUGGAGUGAUCGUGUAGACAGGAAUUUUCCUUGCUAGAUCUUUGUUCUGUUUCCCUGCAGUGUCUUCCUGAGUUGAACUGGAAGCUUUGGAUGUCUGCAGCCUACAGAAACGAGCUCUGAAGGAUUUUGUAUGUGGAGUACAAGAAAGAAAACGUCCCAGAACACAUUGGUAGAAAGCUGAGUAUUCCGGAAGAGGUUUACAGUACAGUUCAGCUUUUACACACACAUGUAGCCAGCAGUAUGAGAAGUUUGGCCAUUCUUCAGCAUCGGUGUUGUCCUUAGCCACUAAACACAGAUGAAGCUCUGCAGUAGGCCGUUCUGUUCCUGGUAAGAUUUGCCUCUCUCUUUGACUGUAGUUUCUGACAUCAACACAAAGCACAACUUGCUGACGUACUGUAGUCCACAGCAGGAGUGUUUUGCCACUGUACCGGUGUUACACUGUCAGAGGGCUCUUAGGAUAGCUAUUAAUUUAGAUGCUUUUAUCAGAUAUACACUGUUUUGAAAUGAAUCUUAGGCAAAUCAUGAUCAGCUAAGUUGUUGAGAGGAGUAGGUGCAAAUUCUGUAAUCACAGUCUGAUUAGGCAAUGGCCUGUCUCCACAGAAGAGAAGCAGCGGGAUACAUACUUCUGCACCAUCUGAAAUUCUAAAUGGCGAAAAUAAAGUGUGUGGUUCUGAUACCAGCUCCAAUUAAGGGAGUUAUGAACACUUAACUGCCUAUUAGUCUGAAUGCACGCAUCUAGUUUUCUGAAUGUGCAAACAUAAAGACUUCAGAUAAUCUGACCUGUGGUACUCUUAAUCUUAAUGAACAGCCCUGAAAUCUGCUUGCAGGUAUGAUUGCAGCUGGUAGUGUCUGGUUUGUUGCCUUUGCUUAUUUGACCUUCACCCUUCUAAUUUCAGCGUGCAGCUAAGAUCUGACUUGGACUCCACUGCUUUUACAGCUGUAGCCAGGUUCACAUGAUCCCUUGGGUUUUAAUGGAUGGCUCUGUCUAAUAAUAAGACCUGGUCCUCAAAUUUUACUGAGUCCCUACCUGGGGAAAUUUCUAUUGGAAUUUACUGACCUUUAAUCUCUCCUCCACUUUUUUUUUUCUUUCUUUUUUUUUUCUUUUUUUCUGGAAGGUAUUUAAUGCAAUGUUUUGAGUGUUUUUUAAUACGCUUGUAAUGGUAAUCUAAAAUAUAAUUUGUAGGCAGACUUAAACCAAGGAUGCUACAUAGUCUUGAGGCAUAUUUGUUCCACUUCUUUCUCUGUGUUGUGUAAAGGAAUGUAACAGGAAAAAAAAAUGUAUUUUUUUCAGGUAGGGGGAAUAAUGCAGCAAGAAAUUCUCAGAACAAAACAGCCCAGCUUUCAAGUGUAACAGAAGAGUAUGGAGUGAUUAAGCACAGGGAAUUCCUUAACUCAUGUUAAAUUAAGCAAUGUGCCCUGGUUUCCAGGAACAGCUUAAUGGUUGUUCUCAGGUCUUUGUUAGUACAGUAAGCACAGAUAGUGUUAAUGAUCGAGAACUAGGCAGUCCUAUCAAGACACUGCAGUGUAUCCUCAACUGCAGAAUAAGUCAUAUCUGUCAGUCAGCUUAGCAAACAAGUAAGAAAUUCUAUCUGGUGGGUUAGCAAAGCACUUGUCUUCCUAAUAAUAGCUGUGCUCUUGAAAGGUCCUGCUUUGCAGAACCUCUCUGCAAAGGUGGAGGGUGGACCUUCACUGCUGAAUUUUUUAAGUAACAAACAAAUAGGUCAGAAGGAAAAAAAGCAUCGUUACUUGUUUUCAGCUCUAGCAUUUAGCCAGUUUUCAAUAUCUAGCAGAUUGCUUUGUAGUUAUGAACCUUUUUUUGUGGUUUUUUUUUUGUUUUUUAAAAUGAAAAGUAAUUUAUUUUUUCAAUAAUACACUUUUCUUUUUCUCCUGUGAUAGACAAGUUCCUCUGAACUCAAGUGAAUUCAAACCCUGAAAGAUCUUUUUUUUUUUGUCCUCAGCUUUGCACAGAAGGUUUUUCUUUCAGCUUUUUGACUUUGAUAUUAGACCAUGUUUCUGAUUUCCUUUACCUUUUGUCUGUUGGUUUAUUCUUUCACAUAUGGAGUUGCACACAGCUCCUCCAGUUAUAAUUAUAACCUGUAAGUUUGCUGAAUUGGGUCUUCAGAGAAAUGCUUGAUGUUUGUAAUUACAUUUUGCAGCAUAACAUAUCUUGCUUAAAAGUAUCUAAUUGUUUUAAUUACCUGUUUUUAUAUAAUGAUGUUUUAUACAUCUUCUGUAGAUUGAGAAUGGUGGUUACACUCAGCUGAGUUAAAGGUGGGUUUCCUAGCAAUGUGGCUUGCCAUAAUAGAAGUGCUCCAAAAUGUAUCCCAUUCCAGUGGGUGUUUGCAGUGAAAUUACUCUCACUUGAGAAAUCAUAGGAUCACAGGAUGGCUUGAGUUGGAAGGGACCUUGCAGCCCAUCCAGUUCCAACCCCCAACCACGCGCAGGGCUGCCACCCACUAGGUGAGGCUGCCCAGGGCCCCAUCCAACCUGGCCUUGAAGGCCUUCAGGGAUGGGGCAUCCACAGCUUCUCUGGGCAAUUUGUUCCAGUGCCUCACCACCAUCUGAGUAAUUAAUUUCUUCCUAUUGUUUAUCCUGAGUUUCCCCUCUUUUAAUAUAAAACCAUUUCCCCUUGUCCUGCUACUAUCUGCCUGUUUAAAAAGUCGGCGUCCUUCCUGUUAAGUACUGGAAGGCCACAAUGAGGUCUCCCAGAGCCUUUUUCAGACUGAAUGAGCCCAGCUUUCUCAGCCUUUCUUCAAAGGAGAAGUGCUCCAGCCUUCUGACCUUCUUUGUGGCUUCCUUUGGAUCCUCUCCAACAGCUCUAUGUCUUGUGCUGGGGGCCCAAUGCAGCACAGUGGGGUUUUGUCCUGAAAAUGGGGACAAAGCUGGGAGGAGAAGUCUUUCACCUUCAUGUGAUAAAUGCAACAGAUACAGCUUUGGAAGCAAGUUGUUUUGUUCAAAGCAAAAAUCAUAGAACUGUAGAGAAGGAAGACUUAUGUGUGUUAUCUCAUGAAGACAAUUGGCUGGAGAAAGGAAGAGCUUCCUUGGGAAGGAGGAUCCCACAGUUCACUGACAACUCAU
ensembl:lncRNA